rnacentral:lncRNA from 1 species
AAAUGCAAUGAUCAACUAUGUGGAGGAGAUAUGUGAGAAAUGCCUUAGCAGACGAUGAAGAAAGAGAUCAAAAGGCUCCGAGAAGCAGGAAUGCUAUGGUGGAUAUGCAGUCAGCUCUCUGUAUCUGUGGGUUCAUUCAACCUCGGACUGAAAAUAUUCAGCAUUUGGGAAAAAAGUGGCAUCCCAUACUCAACAUGAUGUGAAUUGUCCCUUUGUCCAGUGGAUACACACUGUCUACACUUCCCUCCAGUUAGCCGCUUCACCAUCUCGGUGAUCAGAUGGACUGUCAAGGUAUCGCAGUGCUUGUGCUCAAGGCACCCUCAUUUUACCUAAUAAUGGCCCCAAAGCACAAGAGUGGUGAUGCUGGUGAUUCAAAUAUGCCAAAGGGAAGCCAUAAAGUGCUUCCUUUAAGUGAAAAGAACCAGGGGUCCUGAUAAUUGACAGUGGAUCUCCAUGAAGUCAAGUAAUUACUUAAUAUAUCUAUUACCACUACCAAAUGUCCAACCUGCCAGCAACAGAAACCAACACUGAGCUCUUCAACAAACACAGUCCCCAGAGGAGACUAACCAGCCACUUGCUAGCAACUUGAUCACAUCGGAUUCCUUUCAAUCUGGAAAUGGCAGUAAUUGAUUUUGACUGGAAUUGACACAUAUUCCAGAGAUGGCUUUACCUUUCCUACCCACAGGGACUCAGGCAGCAUGACCACCUGUAGGCUUAUAGAUUAUAUGAUAAACUGACAUGGAAUCCUGGAUAAUGUGACUGUGGACCACUGGCCCCAUUUUAUAGCAAAAGAAGGACAACAAUGGACAUAUGAUGAUAGGAUAACACCAUCCAGAAACUGCCUAUCUUCUAGAGGUUUUUGAAAGCACAGCUAAAGUGCCAGCCUGCAGGUGAUACUGUGUCCGGAAUUGGUGGGUUCUUGGUCUCACUGACUUCAAGAAUGAAGCCGCGGACCCUCGCAGUCUUCAGGUAGCUGGGUAAGAAGCGGCAAGGAAAACAAAGGGUCCUGGUAAUUGAAAACAACUGGUAAGGAUUGUUUUCUUUUUCUUUUCCUUCAUCUUCUUCCUAAUCGAUGUGCUGAUUUGUAUAUGAACCUACAGAUGAGUCAAACCUAAGCAUUCGGCAUUGGGAGCACUGUCACUAAAACUGCAGCCUCAUUCAACAACACAUCCUUAUCGAGCACUUGCAGGUACUCCAUUGAAUGUUAGAAAUGCAUUGAUGAUGGAGACACAGCACCGGCUCAUGAGGACCUUCCAGCCUAGGCAGCAGGACUGGACAUACGCACUUUGGUAGAUUUAUUUUUAGAAAUUGGCUUAUGCAAGUGUGGGGCUGGCAAGUCUAACAACUGCAGGGCAGGUCAGGAGGCUGGAGACCCAGGGAAGAGUUGAUGCUGCAGUCUCUAGUCUGAAGGCAGUGCAGAGGCAGAAUUCCCUCUUUCUCGGAGGAUCUCAGGCUUUUUCUCCUAAGUCCUUCAACCAAGUGGAUGAGGCCACCCGCAUUAGAGAAGGGAAAGCUAGCUGAUAUGUUAUGAGGACAUUUGAGUAGCCCCACGGAGAAGUCCACGUGGAAGGAACUGAGGCCUCUUGCUACCGUUAUGUGAGUGAGCCAUCUUGGAAGCAGAUCCUCCAGCCUGGUUGAUCCUUUGGAUGACUGCAGCCCCAGGUGCCAUCUUGACUACAACAUCAGGAAAGAUUCCAAACUAGACUCCCCCAUCCCAGGCCUGGCCCAGAGAAAGAGAUGAAAGCUGACACGCAGCUCUCAGAAUCACCCUUGCUGUCAGGUUUGGCUUCUGGAGCUGAUGGGAAUCUGAGAGACGUCAGGGUAGAAGCCGCCUGUCUUGGUGAGCUUCCCGUGCUCAUCUGGCUUUGGGAAAGACUCUCAGCCUCAUUUGCUUAUCCUCCAUCACGGGCCAAGCACUUGGUUUGGGAAUAAGGGGCCCUUGGCACUUACUGUUGUGUUCUUGGCCUUUGGGGCCUUGGCCAAGAGUCAGGUGGAAAGAGUUCCACCCUAACAUCCUCUCCUAUGCUUCCUUCCAGAGCAGGGGAUGGGAGAGUAUGGGGAGAAAAAGGCUCCUUAGGGAUUUACUUCACGUUAAAAAAUAUUUACUAGGCAUUUAACAGGUACGCAGAAAUUUACCAGCGGCUGAAGUGGGUAAUAGGGAUGUAUCAAUUAACUAAUAAACUAAUUAAUUAGA